GGUGGGUGCUGAAGGUGUUCAAGGUUGAUUUGUAGCGACCGACGGCAUUCGGGGGCCAGGGCGUCCCUUGGAAGUGGCGGUCGCUGCCGCUUCCAUGUGCAGAUGGAAGAAACAACGGUACUGUGACCAUCAUGCAGGAACACCCUCAACUGUUCUGGCAGCAGAAGAAAAGCCCACAAGUGAAGCUUCAGGAUUGAAAGGCACAUACCUUGUAACUGGCAACCCGAAGACUCAGUAUUCUCUGUGCUUAAGGAUAGCACAGCCCAGCUUCCAGUGACACCAAAAGUGGGGCUAAAGUGGUUCUCACUGAAGGCACGGGAGCUGCCAGGAGGGGGCCAUGGCAGCCAAAUCCCUCACGCUCAGCAUUAGCAAAGUGCUUUUUCCCAAGCCAAAGGACACGAGCAACCCCUGUACCCACACAGCCGCCGCUGAGUUUCUUACAUUCUGAUGAGUUUUGCCUCCCGCGGGACCUUCCAGACCGUCACCAGGAGGUGAACGCUC